rnacentral:rRNA from 1 species
GACGAACCGUGCGAACGUUGUUCGGAAUCACUGGGCUUAAAGGGCGCGUAGGCGGGCCCGCAAGUCAGGGGUGAAAUCCCACGGCUCAACCGUGGAAGUGCCUUUGAUACUGCGGGUCUGGAGGGAGGUAGGGGCGUGCGGAACUUCCGGUGGAGCGGUGAAAUGCGUAGAUAUCGGAAGGAACACCGGUGGCGAAAGCGGCGCGCUGGACCUCUACUGACGCUGAGGCGCGAAAGCGUGGGGAGCGAACAGG